GCCGCCGUAGCUCAGCCUGGUAGAGCACCUGACAUUCCGCUCUCCACCCGUUUGCCCGAUCCGGGCCGAAGGAGGACGGUUACCAUCCAUCUGGAUGACGCGGGUUCGAAUCCCGUCGGCGGCG
rnacentral:tRNA from 2 species